rnacentral:rRNA from 1 species
UCUGGUCGUGGGAACUGUCAGGUGGGCAGUUUGACUGGGGCGGUCGCCUCCCAAAAGGUAACGGAGGCGCUCAAAGGUUCUCUCAGUACGGUCGGAAAUCGUACGUAGAGUGUAAAGGCAAAAGAGGGCUUGAUUGCAAGACAUACAGGUCGAGCAAGGAUGAAAAUCGGACUUAGUGAUCCGGUGGUUCUGCGUGGAAGGGCCAUCGCUCAACGGAUAAAAGCUACCCUGGGGAUAACAGGCUUAUCU